AAUUCUUCACUCCACCCAGAUGGGCUGACCAGGCAUUUGGAUCAGGGCUUAGCUAUUUAGCUUUCGGAUGGGGGAUAUACGUGCAGCUGUCUAAAUUUCAGUCUGGCCCCUCUCAUUUGCCAUUCUCUCAUUUAACUUUCAUUACUCUACGUAUGAUCACAAUUGAGAUUGACAGAGUGUUAAACGGCUUGAAUUAGGUGUACAAAUGUCUUAAUAGUCGGGUGCUUUCGAAAUUCCAAACGUAUAUGUACAGCUUGUUAUACAAUAACACGCCCCUCAAACGUAUAAUCAACACAGAAUUAAUUGCAUUAUCAAGAUUAUCGACUAGGGCAUAUGUUCGAACGGCCUAGACUACAAAAUAUUGAUAAAUAAAAGCACCACCGACCAGAACGACAAAACUGGAGUAUGUAAUUUACAGUCGCGCGUUGCUAUCGCUAUAUAAUUUUGCUCAACUGAUAAGAGUUCAGCUCGGAGACGAAGGCCUUUGAUAAGGGGUUUGUAUUUGUUGCACCCCCUCGAAAGGGAAGAUAAGAUGUGCGAACUACAGCGAAACCGGCAGAUAAAAGAGUUCGCCAGACAGUUCGGUUGGACAACAGCGCAAAAAAGGCGAAACAAUUCAAAGCGUGGAAUGCCUAUGGCACGUGCCAAAAAAUGAGACUUGAGUUGUCGUUUAGACUGUCAAUCAUGAAGUAUGUGAGUCGGUUGACCUUGGGAAUGUCACAAUGUAACAAAGAUGAUGGAUACGUAAUGGAGGAGAGGAAGUGCCAGCUGGGAGGAAUUGAGAAGUCGACAAGAAAGAUUUUCCAGAAGCUUUAAAGGGGGUCUGGCGAAUUGCAUCAACGGGUUGCAUGUACAGUGACUGGGCAAUAAAUUAAACUAUUUAAAAUACCUACAAUCACGCAGUAAACAAAGUAAACAAAAGCAAAAAUAAAUCAAAUCUGUUUCGAAUUUAAAGUGCUGUGUAUUAAAAGAGAGAGCAGAGAGAGAGGGAGAGUGAAUAGAGAGUGGGUGAGCAUGUGGGGGACGAAAUAUAACGGAGACGAGAGGAAGAGCUUGCGCGGAAGAAACAAAAACACCCGCACAAAUAUACACACACUGAUAAGCCAUAGUGAUUACAGCAACAAAGUGCUGUAAGUCGACAGCAAGGUAAAUAAGAUUGUGUGUAUAUAUGUGUAUAUGCACGUGUUGACACUGAAAGCUCUCAACUUGGCACACUGACACACAUAUGAUAUAUGCUAUGUAUAGACACAUCCGAUCUCUCCACAUGCAACGAUUCGAUGCACCAU